ACGUAUAUAUAUAUAUAAAUAUAAUACACAUUUAGGUAUACAUAUAUAUUUCUUUGGAUCACGCGGCAUAAAUGCAUAUUUACAAAAUUCAAUAGAUCAGAUGUGCAUAUUAAGUACAAAUGGCACGAUAAAUAUAACUUAAUUAUUCAAAAUGCUUCACUAUGUCGCAUUACUUAAAAAAAAUGGAAUAAAAAAAAGUUAUAAUGAAAAUAUAUUUGUUAAAAGAGUAAGAUGAUUUUUUACGAUGUGUAUCCA